CCUACGGGAGGCAGCAGUGAGGAAUAUUGCACAAUGGCGGAGACCCUGAACCAGCGAAGCCGCGUGAGUGAAGACGGAUUUCGGUACUGUAAACUCCAUCUGCAGGGGAGAAAAUGACGGUACCUGACUAAGAAGCCCCGUCUAACUACGUGACGGCAGCCGCAGGAAGACGUAGGGAGCAAGCGUUAUCCGGAUGUACUGGGUGUAAAGGGAGCGUAGACGGCAGCGCAAGUCUGGAGGGAAAUCCCAUGGCUUAACCAUGGAACUGCUGUGGAAACUGCGCAGCUGGAGUGCAGGAGAGGUAAGCGGAAUGCCUAGUGUAGCGGUGAAAUGCGUAGAUAUUACGAGGAACACCGGUGGCGAAGGCGGCUUACUGGACUGCAACUGACGUUGAGGCUCGAAAGCGUGGGGAGCAAACAGGAUUAGAUACCCCGGUAGUC
rnacentral:rRNA from 1 species